rnacentral:rRNA from 1 species
GAUGAACGCUGACAGAAUGCUUAACACAUGCAAGUCAACUUGAACUUCGGUUUGGGUGGCGGACGGGCGAGUAACGCGUAAAGAACUUGCCUCACAGAUAGGGACAACAUUUGGAAACGAAUGCUAAUACCUGAUAUUAUGAUUAUAUGGCAUCGUAUAAUUAUGAAAGCUAUAUGCGCUGUGAGAGAGCUUUGCGUCCCAUUAGCUAGUUGGAGAGGUAACGGCUCACCAAGGCGAUGAUGGGUAGCCGGCCUGAGAGGGUGAUCGGCCACAAGGGGACUGAGACACGGCCCUUACUCCUACGGGAGGCAGCAGUGGGGAAUAUUGGACAAUGGACCAAGAGUCUGAUCCAGCAAUUCUGUGUGCACGAUGAAGUUUUUCGGAAUGUAAAGUGCUUUCAGUUGGGAAGAAAAAAAUGACGGUACCAACAGAAGAAGUGACGGCUAAAUACGUG